GGGGGGGGGCGCAGUGGUUGGGGCCGGCGGCGGCCGCCGCGGCGGCGGGGUCAGUUCUCUUUAGUGUUUGCCGAUGUUGGAGGCGUCUCCAAAGUGUCCCCGGGAAGCAGUGACAGGCAAUGGCACAAGUUAAAAUGCAGACUACAGCAAACUUGUCUGGACCCACCAUGGCCCCUGUGGUGCUACCCCUGCCAGUUACAGCUACAAAUACACUGACCCUGCCAUCCUCAAUUAAUGGAUCCAUUUCAGAAUCGGCUGCCAGCUGUAGCAGUCCUACUGCCAGCCUUGUGGAUUCCGCAUCUUUGAUAAACUCACCAGCUCCUCUCCAAGAUAACAUGGCAAACCCCAAAGAGAAAACUCCAAUGUGUCUGGUAAAUGAGUUAGCCCGUUUCAAUAGAAUUCAACCCCAGUAUAAGCUUCUGAAUGAAAGAGGGCCUGCUCAUGCCAAGAUGUUCACAGUGCAGCUGACUCUUGGAGAACAGACAUGGGAAGCUGAAGGAAGCAGUAUUAAAAAGGCCCAACAUGCUGCUGCUAGCAAAGCAUUGAAUGAAACUACCCUUCCCAAACCAACGCCCAGACCACCCAAAAACAAUGUAAACAAUAAUCCAGGCAGUAUAACACCAACUGUGGAGCUGAAUGGUCUGGCGAUGAAAAGAGGAGAGCCUGCCAUCUACAGGCCAUUAGAUCCAAAGCCAAUUCCCAAUUACAGAGCAAAUUAUAAUUUCCGGGGCAUGUACAAUCAGAGGUAUCACUGCCCAGUGCCUAAAAUUUUCUAUGUCCAGUUAACUGUUGGCAACAGUGAGUUUUUUGGUGAAGGAAAGACUCGUCAAGCUGCUAGACAUAAUGCUGCAAUGAAGGCCCUUCAAGCUCUUCAGAAUGAGCCUAUUCCAGAAAAAUUACCUCAGAAUGGAGAAUCAGGAAAAGAUUCAGAAGAAGAUAAAGAUGCAAACAAAUCUGAGAUCAGCGUAGUGUUUGAAAUUGCUUUGAAGCGCAAUAUACCUGUCACUUUUGAGGUGAUUAAAGAAAGUGGACCUCCUCACAUGAAGAGCUUUGUUACACGAGUUACAGUAGGAGAAUUCACUGCAGAAGGAGAAGGCAACAGUAAGAAACUCUCAAAGAAACGUGCUGCAAUGGCUGUACUACAAGAACUUAAGAAACUUCCUCCUCUUCCUGUGAUUGAAAAGCCAAAACUUUACUUUAAAAAGCGUCCAAAAACAAUAUUGAAGACUGGACCAGAAUAUGGUCAAGGAAUGAAUCCCAUCAGUCGUUUGGCUCAGAUCCAACAGGCCAAAAAGGAGAAGGAGCCAGAGUAUGUUCUUCUUUCAGAGAGAGGAAUGCCUCGCCGUCGAGAAUUUGUUAUGCAGGUAAAAGUAGGCAACGACAUUACUACUGGAACAGGCCCAAACAAGAAAAUAGCUAAAAGAAAUGCAGCAGAAGCAAUGUUGCUACAGCUGGGAUACAAAGCCUCUACUCCUCUUCAAGACCAGACAGAAAAGCUUGGAGAAAACAAAAGUUGGAAUGGCCAAAAUGUUGGGUUUCCUGAGCCAACAAGUAAUACACCAAAGGGAAUACUCCAUCUCUCUCCUGACGUAUAUCAAGAGAUGGAAGCAAGCCGCAACAAAUCAGCCCCUGGUACCACUGUAAGCUAUAUGUCAUCCAAAGAAAUGAGCCAGACUUCUAGCUCUUUCUUCAGCAUAUCUCCUACCACAAAUAGCACAGCCACCAUUGCCAGGGAACUUCUCAUGAAUGGAACAUCCCCAACUGCUGAAGCCAUAGGUCUCAAAGGAAUAUCUCCUGCUUCUCCCUGUUCUACAGUGCAGCCUUCAAAACAGCUGGAAUAUUUGGCAAGGAUUCAAGGCUUUCAGGUAUGGGAGGGGGAAAAUGAAGCUCUUCAGCCAGAAUCGUAGCGUUGCCAUCAAGGUUUCACUCUUGCCCUCUUGAAUGUGGGCAUGCAUGUAACUUAUGUUGUAAAAUUAGCUGGUGUCUGAGGCAGUUUCUGGGUCCAGGAGAUACAGACUUCCACCUUACAUUUAUCUUACUGCAGCCCAUCUUUCUCUCCUAUGUCUCUUCUCCUUAACUAAUUGCAAGCUUAAAUUAUGCCUUCAACUUGUACUUCUUUGAGAGUCAUCACCUCUUGGUUUCUCCCUUUGACUGAUCCAGAAGCUACUGAUGCACCAUUUGUCUUCUAGGCCAGGUCAUUCAAGUAGUUUUUUUGCUUCCCACCCUUCACCUCUUAAAUGCAACCUGAUGUUUUGGUUUAGGAAUGGUACUAUCCAAUUUAGUGUCUCACUGACACUUUCCAAACCACUGCCACUCACUCACUCUCCCCUUCCCACUCCCACUACCCCUUGUGGUGGGCUGGAGAAGAGAACUGGAAACAAAAAAGGUAAAUGUCAUGGGUUGUGAUAAGAACAAUUUACUAGAAACAGCAAUGGGAUAAGAAAACAAACAGUAACAGCAACAAUGCUAAUGACAGUGGGUAGAAGAAAUGAACAAUUCCCAUGGAAGCCCCCUGAGAACAGCCAAUACCUGACCACACCCUCUGCCACGCUCACUCAACUGGAAGAGACUCCCUCCCCCAGACAUGGCAAUGACAUGAGGUGGUAUAGAAUAAUGUCCAGGUCCUGGCCAUGGCCCCUCCUGGCAACUGCAAAAAUUAACCCUGUCCUGGCCAGAACCAGGAACAUUAUUCACCCCUUGUUCUACACCAUCCUGCAUGCCCAGAUCCUACAUAUUCCAACUCAUAUAUAUAUAUAUAUAUAUACAAGGUGAGGUAUCAUUUCCCUAGUCAAUGGUUGUUCCUUCAAGAUAUCUGUUAAGUUCAUUCAGUCAAUGACUGUGGAUUCUACCCAUCAUAGGUGUCUGCCAGGGCAGGAGGGCUGGUGUGCUGUCAGCUGGUUGCAGGCUGCAUCACGAGUUCACUACUGGUGCAUCUGGAGCAGUCCAUACUCAUUGUCCAUCACAGUUAUGGCCUACAGUAUCAUUCAGCAACCAAUGUUACACAAUUCAACAGCACAGACUGUUCUCACCCAAAAAUCUAAACCCCUGGAGGCAGUUCAUGGUGACUUCCAAGAUCCCUGAGCUUUUGGGGUUUCCUAUUCAAACUCACUGUAUGAUCAGUACAGUUCCCUCACUGUGUAGCAUUAGUGGCAUGACAUGUGGAAGAAACUUUCUCUUGAAACAUGCAACCCAGCACUGCCAGUCAAGGUGCCAGAAGAAGCUGUGCUUCAGUGCCAAUCACUUCUGAAGCAGCUUGAACCCCUUAACGAGAUGCCAGUAUCCCUUUUUCAGUUGUUGUGUAGCAGGGCUUGGAUCCUUUGUAUCCCCAACUCCAGAAUCCCAGGAGUCAUCCUCCAGUGUCCCCUGGUACUUUUUGGCAGAGACUCCAGGAAGGACCAUUCUCCCCAGCUGCAGUAUAGAGAACAGUUUUCACAUCUUGUCCUGUCCUGACUGACCCAAGAGCUACUGCGUGAACAAUCUCUUCCUUAAUUUGUUCAGAAGCUUGUUUUUCAGGACCCCGCUUAAAAUAAUUCAUCUUCUGCAUCAUAAGAUAUAGAGGGUUUUCAAUCUGAUUGAGCUCUGCAAUAUGCAUUCUCCAAAAGACCACAGCUCCUAGGAAAUCCUGUAUUUCCUUCUUGCUGGUUGCUGGGGACAUAAGAUACUUUUUUGUUGACCAUGGCCAUUAGAAUCUGAUGACAUUCUUAAAGCCUGGAUUUCCUGGCAGGUCCCUUGACCUUACUUUGCUUUAAGGCAAAACCAGCCUUCAGGAGGAUUUGGAUUAUCUCCUCCCCUUUCUCAAAAACUUCCUCUGCUUGGUUGCCCCACAUAAUGAUGUCAUCAACAUAUUGCAAGUGUUAUGAAGCCUCAGUCUCUUCCAGUGCAGUCUGGAUCAUUCCAUGGCAAAUGGUGGGAAUGUGCUUCCACCCCUGGGCAGUUGGUUCCAGGUGUUUUGCAUGUCAGUUUGUGGAAAUACCCACUCCUGAGGUAGUCUGUGCCAAGGAUGCACAAGGCCUCUGGCCCAUCACAAUGGGGUGGUUUUGCCAUUCAUUCCUGUAAGACCCCAGAAUUCACUCAACAAGUCUUUUAAAAGGGCUUGCAGGUUUUUUAUGUACCCCAAAUUAGAUGCAAGGGAGCAAUACCAACAAGGUAUUCCCAAGAGAUGAAAACAACAAAAACUUUACUGGCAAAUUUCAGAAAAUACAUGAACUUGUGCAAAAGUUUAGAGCAACAUUCAAUCAACAUAAAACGUUUUGCUAAGCCUUAACCUAGCAAACUCUCAGCCUGAUCAACUUAGCAAACUCCAACCAAUCUAAGUUACUCAAACUUUGAGAAGAAGGCAUUAUAAGAAGGAGAGGAAAGAGAAAGAGAGAAAAGAUGCAGAAAAGAAUGAAUAUAGCUACCACUGCUGGCUUCCAGUGGUCUUCCAGCUGAUAUAAAAUCCAAGGGAAGGUAGGGUCAAGACAUGCUUGCCUGGUGUCCUGGCUUAAGUACCUUUUGGGUCUCCUGGGCCCUUCGUCCAGGAGAGACUUCUGGUUUGGCAGCCACUCAGGAGCUGGGUUAGGGCUUCAGAGAUGGGAUGAGGAGCACUGCCUCCAGUGUGCCUGUGAUUAGCAGUCACUAUGGGGCUGGGAUACAGGCUUUAGAGGAUGGGGCGUGUGGAACAGGACAUUGCCUCACCAGGGCAAGGCCCAACCUGCCCCUUUGCCCACAUACAUCCCCAAAAUGUUUUGAGCAAGCAAUCUCCUCCAGUCUCUCACAAUACCCAGUCAGGUUCAGUACAUCUCCCAGUACAGGCAGCUCUUGGGAUCCCCUGUCACCCCAGAAACAGAGAUGGGUUCUGCCCCUACGUAUCUUGGUAGCAUGAGGGUACAUGGUGCACUGAUGUCAAGUAAAGCCUUAAACUCCUGUGGGUCUGGUGUGCCAAACCAUCAGAUCCACACAAUCCAAGAGUUCUAAUUAUCCCUUUCCUCCACCUUGCUAGAGGCAGGACCCCUCCAAUUGUGGUCAUGGUAUUUGUUGCUCACAAAUUUGAACUGAAGGUACUUCAAGUGGAUUCAAGCAACAUCAACCCUCCUGUUCUGUCUGAGGAUUUGUCCACUGGAAACUGGAGUGGCAUUUAAUCCUUGAAGGAUUUUCUGCAAUGGUUGUUCUUUCUCUCAACUCAUGUAGCCAUGCUGCUAGCGCACAGGUGGGUUUUCCAUUCCUCUUCCUCAUACCCUUCCCGUGGUCAUGCAAGUAAAACCACAGGUUACUUUGUGGUGUGCACCCUCUCUCUCAAGCAGGGGGCCCUUGCUACCAAUAGCAGGGACUCUGGUCUACACUGGCGGGCCAUGGGACAUGUCCUCUAGCUUGUUCAAGUCUUUCAGAUCAUUCUGCCAUUUUGGACAGUCUUGCCACAGCUGAGGUGCAGGUUGAUAGGGAGGCAAAAACAUGAUCUUCAUAUUGCCAGAGUCAGGUAGUCACCUGAAGCACUGUUUGUUCUCCUUUCAUUGCCAUUAAUGUCAAUGGCAUAUGAUGGUGGCCCUGCUCUGCACAAACUUCCACCACGUGGACUGUGUACACAGGACCUCAUCUGGAGCUACUGAGAACUGCUCUUUAUUUGAAUCUCUGUACAGUACCUCUGGCACAGCUAAUGCUCUCAGGUACUGGAUACAUUUCUCCAUGGCAUUCCACCUGCUUGGACACACUAUUAGAUCAUCCUUGAGAGAAUGCCCUUCCCUCUGCUUGACAGGAGUCACUUCCAGAGGCUGAGAGUUUCUGUCCUCUUCCCAAUCCCUUUGUCAAUACCAGCAUCCUGUGACAGGGAUUCCAAUUGCUUUAUUACCACCUAGUUUUGUACUGCGGGACAAAUGUUGGGACUAUGAUGUCCCAACAUAGGAGCAGCCAGGUCACCAGGGGCUCUCCUGGCUGGUGGCUGAUGUAUUUUUGUCACCUGGUGUAGUGGUCAGAUGCCAAGCACCCACCAAAGCCACUCUCCUUUACAGCUGGAUGGGGGAGAGAAAAUAUAAUGAAGGGCCCAUGGGUUGAGGUACACUACAGUGAUAGACAAAAUGGCAAAGAGUGUUUGACCUGUUUGACACUGUCUCCUGUGCAGAUGACUUUCCAAGGUAUCGGAAGCUCCAUUGAAGCCAGCCAUGACCAG